GACGAACGCUGGCGGCGUGCUUAACACAUGCAAGUCGAACGGAAAGGCCCUGCUUUUGUGGGGUGCUCGAGUGGCGAACGGGUGAGUAACACGUGAGUAACCUGCCCUUGACUUUGGGAUAACUUCAGGAAACUGGGGCUAAUACCGGAUAGGAGCUCCUGCUGCAUGGUGGGGGUGGGAAAGUUUCGGCGGUUGGGGAAGGACUCGCGGCUUAUCAGCUUGUUGGUGGGGUAGUGGCUUACCAAGGCUUUGACGGGUAGCCGGCCUGAGAGGGUGACAGGCCACAUUGGGACUGAGAUGCGGCCCAGACUCAUACGGGAGGCAGCGGUGGGGAAUAGUGCACAAUGGGCGGAGGCCUGAUGCAGCAACGCCGCGUGCGGGAUGACGGCCUUCGGGUUGUAAACCGCUUUCGCCUGUGACGAAGCGUGAGUGACGGUAAUGGGUAAAGAAGCACCGGCUAACUACGUG
rnacentral:rRNA from 1 species